rnacentral:lncRNA from 1 species
UGUGCUUUGAUGGAAAUCUUUUCCCCUUGAGAGAGGAGAGAUAAAAUUUGUGCAAAGAGAGACUACCCCUCCCUCUAUCCUACUCCCUACCUAGACAAUACACCUCUCUCUACCCUACUCCCUACCUCGACCAUACACCCCACUCUAUCCUACUCCCUACCUCGACCAUACACCCCACUCUAUCCUACUCCCUACCUAGACCAUACACCUCCCUCUACUCCCUACCUAGACCAUACACCCCACUCUAUCCUACUCCCUACCUAGACCAUACACCUCCCUCUACCCUACUCUCUACCUUGACCAUACACCCCACUGUAUCCUACUCCCUACCUAGACCAUACACCCCACUCUACCCUACUCCCUACCUAGACCAUACACCCCAUUCCAUCCUACUCCCUACCUAGACCAUAUGCCCACUUUACCCUACUCCCUUCCUAGACCACACCCUAUUGUCUAAAGAGGCUUUCAGGUUACACCGAUUGGGUCCGUCCUGGGUAAUUACCUUGGAAUUGCCUCCAGGGUAUUUAGGCUAUUCGCUUAGUACCUUUCUUCUAUCGUUGAUAUACCACUUAGGGGAGGUGACACUGGAAGGCUACCAGACGGCUACCGGAUUCUGCUCACCCCCUCUCACCACUUAGACUACAUGAACCUAGCCUAGCCCACCUAACCUAGUUUAACCCACACGAUCCUAGUCAAGCCCAACCAAGCCCACCUAGCCUAGCUCACUUAACCUAGUCCAACCCACAUGAGCUAGCCUAGCCCAACCAAGCCCACCUAGCCUUGCUCACCUAACCUAGUCCAACCCAUAUGAGCCUACCCUAGCCCAACCAAGCCCACACAAUCCUAGCCCAACCAACCUAGUCGAACCCAUAUGAGCUAAGCCUAGCCCAACCAAGCCCACACGAGCCUAGUCCACCUAACCUAGUCCAACCCACACGAGCCUAGCCUAGCCCAACCAAGUCCACCAAACCUACACGUACCUACCCUAGAUCACUUAAGCCCACCUAGCCUACACGAGCCUAGUCUACUCCAACCAAGCCCAUCUAGUCCAUACGAACUCACCUAGCCUAACGAAGCUUUCCUAGUCUACCCCAUGUCAGACCCAAAACCAUAUCGCACGUAGUCCAUACCCAAUCAACCAUACUUGAACCAAGCCUACAGUCGAACCUUUUCCAAACCAAGGAUCAGCCUGGGAGUCCAUAGGACCUGAAAUAUCACAUGUGCACGACUCAAACGAGGAAACCGAGCCGAGAAGAGAGCAAGGGGGUUCAGUCUAAAUCUCAUUGAACGAUGAUCGGGGGGCCUUUCUGCAUGAGCACACAAGCGCCAAGAUCUACGAGGGUGAUCACUCGGGUGUAUCCGACCCCUUCAGCUUAAGGUCCGCCUUACCUCAUUCUUUUAUUUUGUUGGUUCGAACCACACCGCCCACCCAAACAUAGUAGUACUCAAUUUAUUCAUGUCGUUUCUUUCAUAGAGCAGCCCAUGAUUACUAUUCCUUUCACAUAUUAGACUAUUCUCUACAGCGCUUCCAUGUGAGUGUCAAUGGGAGCAUGCAUAAAUUGGCACACUCGAUUAACAGCACGCUGGUGAGAGUGAGAUAUUGUAAUACCCCUGCUAAACUUCUAUAUUUCUCUUAAUUAAAUAAAGGUUGUCCUUCAGAUAUCCUUUUUUUUUUUGAGAAAAGGUUAACAUUGUAUUACUGGAUAUGAAGUGUACAAGAGAGAAGAGGCAAAGUUCACCCCCUAAGGGGUGGACUUGGAAAAAUAUAGUUAGUGUAUCAUAUACAAAAAGGGCUUAUAAAACCACCCAAUGCAAAUGUUUUACAUGAAGCUUUAAGAAAAUACAAAAAAUGAGGAAGCCUAGAAAAGCCAAGUGAUGUGCUAUGGAGGCGAGAAGAGCCAAAGGUCUUGCGCAAAAAAGGAGACGACCCCGGCUUGAUCUUGUAAUUGCAUAUUAGCUCGGCGAUCCGCGAAGUCG